AUUGAACGCUGGCGGCAGGCCUAACACAUGCAAGUCGAACGAGUGGCGGACGGGUGAGUAAUGUCUGGGAAACUGCCCGAUGGAUGGGGAUAACUACUGGAAACGGUAGCUAAUACAGCCUACCAUCGGAUGUGCCCAGAUGGGCUUGGCUAGUAGGUGGGGUAAAGGCUCCCCUAGGCCACGAUCCCUAGCUGGUCUGAGAGGCUGACCAGCCACCCUGGAACUGAGACACGGUCCAGACUCCUACGGGAGGCAGCAGUGGGGAAUAUUGCACAAUGGGCGCAAGCCUGAUGCAGCCAUGCCGCGUGUAUGAAGAAGGCCUUCGGGUUGGAAAGUACUUUCAGCGGGGAGGCGUUACCCGCAGAAGAAGCACCGGCUAACUCCGUGCCAGCCGCCGCGGUAAUAC
rnacentral:rRNA from 1 species